UAGGGAAUCUUCCACAAUGGACGCAAGUCUGAUGGAGCAACGCCGCGUGAGUGAAGAAGGUCUUCGGAUCGUAAAACUCUGUUGUUAGAGAAGAACACGAGUGAGAGUAACUGUUCAUUCGAUGACGGUAUCUAACCAGCGAGUCACGGCUAACUACGUGCAAG
rnacentral:rRNA from 1 species